UCUUAUAGAUGAACACAGAGAGUGGUUUCUUGACAUGGAAUCUACUCCUGGUGAACAUGCUAUGAA
rnacentral:pre_miRNA from 1 species